rnacentral:rRNA from 1 species
GACAGAGGUGCCAAGCGUUAGGCGGAAUCACUGGGCGUAAAGGGUGCGUAGGCGGGUCUUUAAGUCAGGGGUGAAAUCCUGGAGCUCAACUCCAGAACUGCCUUUGAUACUGAGGAUCUUGAGUUCGGGAGAGGUGAGUGGAACUGCGAGUGUAGAGGUGAAAUUCGUAGAUAUUCGCAAGAACACCAGUGGCGAAGGCGGCUCACUGGCCCGAUACUGACGCUGAGGCACGAAAGCGUGGGGAGCAAACAGGGAUUAGAAAACCCUGGU